AAAUCCUACGAGACUCCUCUCUUUUUUUAAUUAAAUUUGCAUUUGUUAAAUAUGAAAAUACAAAAAUACUGUUCUCUAAUAGCUUAAAUUUUUAGAGAAUAACAGUUCGUUUAUAUUUUUUAAUAUAGUAUCAAAAUAGGAAAUUUUGAAUUCGAGUCACGUCAUACUCCCAACAUAAUUGACUUCGUCUGACUUAAUUAAAGUCCAUGUCUUGUACCUAUCAAAAUAUCAUAAGUCCAGAUGUAAACACAGUUCUCUACUAGCUUAAACUUUUAAAAAACAACGAUUAUUUCAUAUUAUUUAAUAACGUUAUAUUAAGCUAUAUUUCAUUCUGAUUCUACCAGGUAACUAAUACAAAU
rnacentral:lncRNA from 1 species